rnacentral:rRNA from 1 species
GAUGAACGCUGGCGGCGUGCUUAACACAUGCAAGUCGAACGGAAAGGCCCAAGCUUGCUUGGGUACUCGAGUGGCGAACGGGUGAGUAACACGUGGGUGAUCUGCCCUGCACUUCGGGAUAAGCCUGGGAAACUGGGUCUAAUACCGGAUAGGACCACAUUUUGGAUGGUGUGGUGGAAAGUUUUUCGGUGUGGGAUGAGCUCGCGGCCUAUCAGCUUGUUGGUGGGGUAAUGGCCUACCAAGGCGUCGACGGGUAGCCGGCCUGAGAGGGUGUACGGCCACAUUGGGACUGAGGUACGGCCCAGACGCCUACGGGAGGCAGCAGUGGGGAAUAUUGCACAAUGGGCGCAAGCCUGAUGCAGCGACGCCGCGUGGGGGAUGACGGCCUUCGGGUUGUAAACUCCUUUCGCUAGGGACGAAGCGUUAUGUGACGGUACCUGGAGAAGAAGCACCGGCUAACUACGUG